AAUAUGCUAAUUCCCAAUCCCCAGGAAACUUCUCCGAAAAGCAUUCAAAAAUUUGUCCCAUUUUGAUAUCUAUGCCGCCUCACGCUUUGUGGUUGCUCCGACCUGGCAAUGUGCCAUAACGAAUUGUAAACAAAUAAAGCCAAGUCAAGCCCUGUCGGAGACCAGUUAAAUGGCAAACGGCAAACGGUCGAGACUACAUGCAGAUACAUUGAAAGGCCGAAAUGAAUGGACGACUGCCAAAAUGCCCAAAAGGGGAGCACACAAUCGCAAGCCAAACAAACGCCAGGCAGCAAAAGUCAAUCGAUGUCGCUGAAGAGGAGUAACAAAAGCCAAGCAACAGGCUUGGGCAAACUGCUAAGACUGUGUUUCCAAUUUUCUCCCACUGGCUUUUGGGGCCCAGAAAAAUGCUGGCAGCAGAUAAAGCGGCGACAGCACGCUCCCAAAACAUGGAGUCGCACAAAUUUUUAUCUGCCGCUGACAUUUGAACAUGACUUCAAAAAGAUCUACGGGACGUGUGUGCAAACAGUUUUUGUGCGCGGAGGCUUUGGAGUUUUUGGCCAACAACUACAGAAAAGAAAGCUAAGCGUGGGUGUCAUUCGGUCAAAGCACCCUGCUCCAUGUUGGUUUAAGCCAACAUUUCCCCCGCCGAUCCCCCUAGACAUUGAAACCUUCUUCCACAUUCGCUGGCCACUGUUUGCCCUCAAUAAAGUUGAUGGAUCAUCGCCGCCCCAUUUGAUUUGCUCUCGUCAAUAAAAAAAUUUAUGGAAAAAACAAGCGAAUUUAAAAGGCCCUAAAACGAACAUCGAAUCCGAUAUGCAAAUCGAGAUACCUUAUUUCCAGGCACACAAAUGCG
ensembl:ncRNA lncRNA:CR44338 long non-coding RNA:CR44338